rnacentral:rRNA from 1 species
CAGCAGCCGCGGUAAUACGUAGGUGGCGAGCGUUAUCCGGAAUUAUUGGGCGUAAAGGGUGCGUAGGCGGCCUGUCAAGUCUGUGGUGAAAUCGUGGGGCUCAACCCCAUCAAGCCACAGAAACUGGCAGGCUGGAGAGCAGUAGAGGCAAGUGGAAUUCCAUGUGUAGCGGUAAAAUGCGUAGAUAUAUGGAGGAACACCAGUGGCGAAGGCGGCUUGCUGGACUGCUACUGACGCUGAGGCACGAAAGCGUGGGGAGCAAAUAGGAUUAGAUACCCUAGUAGUCCACGCCGUAAACGAUGAAUACUAAGUGUUGGAGAAAUUCAGUGCUGCAGUUAACGCAAUAAGUAUUCCGCCUGGGGAGUACGCACGCAAGUGUGAAACUCAAAGGAAUUGACGGGGACCCGCACAAGCGGUGGAUUAUGUGGUUUAAUUCGAUGCAACGCGAAGAACCUUACCAAGCCUUGACAUCUUCGGCGAAGCUCUGGAGACAGAGCGGAGGAUAUCCGAAAGACAGGUGGUGCAUGGCC